rnacentral:rRNA from 1 species
CCUAACACAUGCAAGUCGAACGGUAACAGGAAACAGCUUGCUUUUUCGCUGACGAGUGGCGGACGGGUGAGUAAUGUCUGGGAAACUGCCUGAUGGAGGGGGAUAACUACUGGAAACGGUAGCUAAUACCGCAUAACGUCGCAAGACCAAAGAGGGGGACCUUCGGGCCUCUUGCCAUCAGAUGUGCCCAGAUGGGAUUAGCUAGUAGGUGGGGUAACGGCUCACCUAGGCGACGAUCCCUAGCUGGUCUGAGAGGAUGACCAGCCACACUGGAACUGAGACACGGUCCAGACUCCUACGGGAGGCAGCAGUGGGGAAUAUUGCACAAUGGGCGCAAGCCUGAUGCAGCCAUGCCGCGUGUAUGAAGAAGGCCUUCGGGUUGUAAAGUACUUUCAGCGGGGAGGAAGGGAGUAAAGUUAAUACCUUUGCUCAUUGACGUUACCCG